rnacentral:tRNA from 1 species
AGUCCCGUGGUGUAGUGGUCAAGCAUACCGGCCCUUGGAGCCAGUGACGGAGGUUCGAACCCUCCCGGGACUA